AUGUCAGCAGAGCCCAGUGACAUCUGGGAUUCACCAGGAGCUGUGGGGCCCUUUGUGUCUGGGAACUCCUGGCUGUUGUCAGCGGAGAGGCCCCGGUCGCUGUUCGGCAUCCUGCUUAUGGGACUCCAUAGCAACAGCAUCUUUAUCUACUGGAUGUGUCCACGUGGCUGGGCAACAUCACAGGUGUUGGUGGGAAUCCGAAAUGUGGACACUGACGCUAAGCUGGCCUCGAAAUCCACCAUAUCUGUUCUCAAGAUCCAUGCCAGGGAGAUUUUUAACUCAUGGAAUCCCACUGUUGAGGUUGGGAUCUCCUCACCGCAAAAGGUCUCUUCAGAGCUGCUGUGCCCAGUGGUGCUUCAACUGGUAUCUCUGAGGCCCUAGGGCUCCGGGACAAUGAUAAGACUCGCUAUAUGGGGAAGGGUGUCUCAAAGGCUGUUGAGCACAUCAAUAAAACUAUUGCACCUGCCCUGGUUAGCAAGAAACCGAAUGUCACAGAACAAGAGAAGACUGACAAACUGAUGAUCGAGAUGGAUGGAACAGAAAAUAAAUCUAAGUUUGGUGCGGAUGCCGUUCUGGGGGUGUCCCUCGCCGUCUGCAAAGCUGGUGCCGUAGAGAAGGGGGUCCCUCUGUACCACCACAUCGCCGGCUUGGCUAGCAACACUGAAGUCAUCCUGCCAGUGCCGGCAUUCAACGUCAUCAAUGGUGGUUCCCAUGCUGGUAACAAGCUGGCCGUGUAGGAGUUCAUGAUCCUCCCCGUGGGUGCCGCAAGCUUCAGGGAAGCCACGCGCAUUGGAGCGGAGGUUUACCGUAACCUGAAGAAUGCCACCAAGGAGAAAUAUGGGAAAGAUGCCACCAAUGUGGGCGACGAAGGCGGGUUUGCGCCCAACAUCCUAGAGAAUAAGGAAGGCCUGGAGCUGCUGAAGACUGCAAUUGGGAAAGCUGGCUCCACCGGUAAGGUGGUCGUCGGCAUGGAUGUGGCGGCCUCCGAGUUCUACAGGUCUGGGAAGUAUGACCUGGACUUCAAGUCUCCUGAUGACCGCAGCAGGUACAUCUCACCUGACCAGCUGGCCGACCUGUACAAGUCCUUCAUCAAGGACUACCCAGUGGUGCCUAUCGAAGAUCCCUUUGACCAGGAUGACUGGGGAGCAUGGCAGAAGUUCACAGCCAGUGCAGGAAUCCAGGUGGUGGGGGAUGAUCUCACAGUGACCAACCCGAAGAGGAUUGCAAAGGCCGCAAAUGAGAAGUCCUGCAACUGCCUCCUGCUCAGAGUGAACCAAACUGGCUCUGCGACCGAGUCUCUGCAUGCGUGCAAGUCGGCACAGGCCUGUGGCUGGGGCAUCAUGGUGUCUCAUCGUUCUGGGGAGACUGUAGACACCUUCGUUGCCGACCUGGUGGCGGGGCUGUGCACUGGGCACAUCAAGACUGGUGCCCCUUGCCGAUCUGAGUGCUUGGCCAAGUACAACCAGCUCCUCAGAAUUGAAGAGGAGCUGGGCAGCAAGGUUGUUUGCUGGCAGCAACUUCAGGAACCCCCUGGCCAAGGAAGCAGUGGGCCGGCCAGGCCUUCAGUCGCCUGUUGGCUAA